GUUCGUCCACGCCUGUUCGUCCUGUUCGUCCGCAACAACGUUUCCUAGUUUGCCCAGGACUUUAGUAGUAAUCGCCCAGGAAAAUUAAACAAUCCAAAAUGGCCACUAUCGAAAUUUUCCUGGCCAUCAAGCCUUAAGACGUCAUUAUGCAUAAGGUCUAUUGAUUUGAUAUACAGACAUUACAGUAAAGCCUUGCCCUCGCAUAAAAGAACCAGUAGGUUAAGAACCACUAGCCUGAAAUUUGGGCAAUUGAGCACCCAAAAUACAAUGUGUUGAAUAUAGAAAAGUAUAGUGUGAAGUAAGACAAUAUACGAACCACUUCAGCCUGAAGUCAAAAUUCACUGGUUCUUUUAUACACGGCUUAAUUACUGCAUAUCAUAUUCCCAUAAUUAAAUAAUAAUAUCAAUAAUCAUUUUACUGUAAUAUAAUAAAUAUAUAUAUAGCUAUUUUUAUUGGCAAUUUUCUAAUUUACAUACAACCUACAUAUUUGUAAAAUUUGAUAUACAAUACCUUGUUGGCUUGAUCUUUUGACAGAAUCAGUAUACAAGUAAUACAACUUUAUUAUUGCCAACCGUCGACGAUUGCCCAGCUAGCAAGAUCACAACCUCGCUAGUAUAAAGUAUAAAAUAUAGCUAGUUCACACAUAGCUAGCAAGUUUGGUACAGUUACAGCGAGUUCACAAUUCACUGCUUUUUUGAAAAACAUAAUAUGAACGGCUCCUUUU